AGUUUCUAAUCUGUUCUGGGCCCUUCUGUCGGUUGAGCUUACGGGUCAAAAUAUCCGACCUGAUUCACGAGUUUAGGAAUCAGGAGGCGGAGCCUAACCUAGACUUUUGUUUUUCGGAUACGGUUCAAGUUACCAUCCAUUCCAUUGCGUAUUCUAUAGUCGGGCCUCUGUGUUCACGCACCUUGACAGAUUAGCAGCUGCCUUCCUCAAUCUUCCAGCUGAUAGAUAAUUCGGGACUUGCUGUCGGAGGCGUGCCUUUUCCGUCGGAAACUCUCCAUAGCAUUCUUGCUGGGACGUGGUUACCAAUUGGAUUUGGGAUCUGGGAUUUAUCUGUUGAAAACAUGGCCAAGCAUCAUCCUGAUUUGAUUAUGUGCAGGAAGCAGCCGGGGAUAGCCAUUGGACGGCUUUGUGAAAAAUGUGACGGAAAGUGUGUAGUCUGUGAUUCUUAUGUGCGCCCUUGCACGCUGGUCCGAGUUUGUGAUGAGUGCAACUACGGAUCAUUUCAGGGUCGCUGUGUCAUCUGUGGAGGAGUGGGAAUCUCUGAUGCCUACUACUGUAAAGAGUGUACUCAACAAGAGAAAGAUCGGGAUGGGUGUCCUAAAAUCGUUAAUCUUGGAAGUGCUAAGACAGAUUUGUUUUAUGAGCGUAAGAAAUAUGGCUUCAAGAAAAGAUAGAGGAUCCACAUUCAUGCCUGUGCCCCUCGCAGCAGGUCAGAUUAUGCAAAAGAUGCCAGAUGACCUUUUUUUCUGGUAAGAUCCAGUCGAGUAUCUGGACGGUGGGGAGUCAUGUUUUCUUCACCAAUUUUUUCCAUUGAAAGGAGGAAUACACAGCAUGCUUAGAUGCCAUGUGACAAACAAAAGACAACAACGCAAAGUUGUUACCAUAAUGAAGGCGUGUGGCACACUGGUUAAGUACUACUACUUUUCCGGAUGUGUUGAUGCUAGUCGAGUUUGCUAAGCCUAGUUUGAAUUACCAUAGUCUUCUCCUUAAAACCCGUCGAGUAUCACUCUACUUUUCCGGAUGUUUUGAUGCUAGUCGAGUUUACCAGGCCUAA